rnacentral:rRNA from 1 species
AGCGAACGCUGGCGGCAGGCCUAACACAUGCAAGUCGAACGAACUCUUCGGAGUUAGUGGCGGACGGGUGAGUAACACGUGGGAACGUGCCUUUUGGUUCGGAAUAACUCAGGGAAACUUGUGCUAAUACCGAAUGUGCCCUUCGGGGGAAAGAUUUAUCGCCAUUAGAGCGGCCCGCGUCUGAUUAGCUAGUUGGUGAGGUAACGGCUCACCAAGGCGACGAUCAGUAGCUGGUCUGAGAGGAUGACCAGCCACACUGGGACUGAGACACGGCCCAGACUCCUACGGGAGGCAGCAGUGGGGAAUCUUGCGCAAUGGGCGAAAGCCUGACGCAGCCAUGCCGCGUGAAUGAUAAAGGUCUUAGGAUUGUAAAAUUCUUUCACCGGGGACGAUAAUGACGGUACCCGGAGAAGAAGCCCCGGCUAACUUCGUG